rnacentral:tRNA from 1 species
GCCCGGUUAUCUCAAUCGGUAGAGUGUCAGACUCUUAUAAUCUGAACGUUGCGGGUUCGAGUCCCGCAUCGGGCU